rnacentral:rRNA from 1 species
AAUCAACGCUGGCGGCGUGCCUAACACAUGCAAGUCGAACGAGAAAGUGGAGCAAUCCAUGAGUAAAGUGGCGCACGGGUGAGUAACACGUGACUAACCUACCCUUGAGUGGGGGAUAACCUAGGGAAACCUGGGCUAAUACCGCAUAAUAUCGAGAGAUCAAAGGAGCAAUUCGCUUAAGGAGGGGGUCGCGGCUGAUUAGCUAGUUGGUGGGGUAAUGGCCCACCAAGGCUGUGAUCAGUAUCCGGCCUGAGAGGGCGCACGGACACACUGGAACUGAAACACGGUCCAGACUCCUACGGGAGGCAGCAGUGGGGAAUUUUGCGCAAUGGGGGAAACCCUGACGCAGCAACGCCGCGUGGAGGAUGAAGUCCCUUGGGACGUAAACUCCUUUCGAUCGGGACGAUAAUGACGGUACCGAGAGAAGAAGCCCCGGCUAACUUCGUGCCAG